GUGCAUGAUUCAUUAUCUGUAAUGGAAGGUUAUUUUCCGUAUCAAGAGCUUGCAACGCCAAGAUUUGUUGGUAUAAUUCCUUUUCUUUGUUGAAGAUGUUACCAACUUAAAAUUUGUUCCAUUUGGCAACCUCUCAUUUGAUUUUAUCUAGAAGCAUAGAUAGUCUAUCAUCGAGAGGCAGGUGAUCAUGUCCUUUCCAAGCUUUUGCUAC
rnacentral:lncRNA from 1 species